ACUCCUACGGGAGGCAGCAGUGGGGAAUAUUGCACAAUGGGGGAAACCCUGAUGCAGCCAUGCCGCGUAUGUGAAGAAGGCCUUCGGGUUGUAAAGCACUUUCAGUAGGGAGGAAGGUAGUGUAGUUAACACCUGCACUAUUUGACGUUACCUACAGAAGAAGCACCGGCUAACUCCGUGCCAGCAGCCGCGGUAAUACGGAGGGUGCGAGCGUUAAUCGGAAUUACUGGGCGUAAAGCGCAUGCAGGCGGCCUGUUAAGUCAGAUGUGAAAGCCCGGGGCUUAACCUCGGAAUUGCAUUUGAAACUGGCAGGCUAGAGUCUUGUAGAGGGGGGUAGAAUUUCAGGUGUAGCGGUGAAAUGCGUAGAGAUCUGAAGGAAUACCAGUGGCGAAGGCGGCCCCCUGGACAAAGACUGACGCUCAGAUGCGAAAGCGUGGGGAGCAAACAGGAUUAGAUACCCUGGUAGCACAGAG
rnacentral:rRNA from 1 species